AAAGAAAAUGGGGGAAUGAAGGAACCAGC
rnacentral:piRNA from 1 species